AUGCCAAUGUUCGGAAACAAUAUUUUGAUGUUGCUGUUGCUGUUGUUAUUCUUGUUGUGGUUACCUGAAAUGUUGAUAUUCUACUUUUUUGAAGCGCUUGUUUCCUAUUUAUGUCCAGUCCUGUUUAUGGUAACUUGUUGUUUAAUUUACAAUGCUGCUUUUCACAGAAGUGAGAUGGCUGGCUUGGAAGGUUUCGAGUUCUUCGAGAUCGUAAUUGAGAAAUCUUGCAGUAGGCAGAGGCUACCUGACAAGUUUGCGAAGAUGCUCGCCGGCCAUGAGCCCCACAAAGUGAAGCUGCGGGAGGCCGGCAGCGGGCUUCGCAGGCUGUGGGGCGUGUUGGUGGUGUUCGAUGGUGAAGGCCACAUGUACCUAGGGCCCGGCUGGGAGCAGUUCGCCCGCGCCCAUGAGCUACAGCUCAGGCACUUCCUUGUCUUCCGCUACGACGGCGACGCCAUGUUCACCGUGAAGAUGUUCGACAACACCAUGUGCCGCAUGUACUACCAUCACGACGACGAUGCCAGCAAUGGGAGCAGCAGCAGGGAUGACGAGGAGCGGAGUGGGGAUGACGAGGAGCAGAGCGGGGAUGCCGAGGAGCAGCCUAUUCUGGCUAACGACGACCCUGCUAUGUUGGUUGCGGAUGACGACCUUGCUAUGGUGGUGGCUGACGACGACCCUGCUAUGGUGGUGGCGGACGACGACCCUGCUAUGGUGGUGGCUGACGAUGACCUCGCGAUUGUGGUGCCUAAUGAUGACCUCGCAAUGGUGGUGCCUGACAAUGACCUCGUGAUGGUGGUGGCGCCUGCAAUCCCACAGCUUGGCUACAGGACCAUGCCAAUUAUGGUAGAGGAGUACAUCCGCGUUGGGAUUCGCCACUCUGAGCGCAUCAAGUUGAUGAAGGAGAAGAAGGAGGAGUGA
rnacentral:rRNA from 1 species